rnacentral:lncRNA from 1 species
CUGAAAAUGACUCAUUUGGCAGAGAACUUGGUAGAGGUGAGCAGAUUGAGGAGUCAAAGUUGAACACUCCUUCUUCAUUUAGGUUUGGUAGUAGCUAAUUUGAAAAAUAUCACUUGAAAGAGUAGAUAAUUUAAAAGAGCCAUGCUUUUCUUUCCCUCAACAAUUCUAUGCAUUUCUCC